rnacentral:lncRNA from 1 species
CAUAAGCGUCUUAUCAAAUCUCGAGGUCCCGAUUCUGUAGAGGGAUUACCUGACUUUCAAUUCAAAACAAUUCCAGAUGGUCUCCCUCCUUCUGAUGCCAAUGCCACCCAAGACAUUCCAGCUUUAUGUGAUUCCAUUAGCAAAACCUGCUUAGUUCCGUUUAGAGAUCUUCUGGCCAACCUCAACAACACUGCCAACUUGCCUCCAGUAUCAUGCAUAGUAUCUGAUGGAGUCAUGAGUUUCACUUUAAAGGUUGCUCAAGAACUUGGUAUUCCAGAAGCCUUAUUUUGGACUCCCAGUGCAUGUGGCUUCAUGGGAUAUCUACAAUUUCCUCAUCUAGUUCAAAGCGGUGUUAUACCAUUCAAUGGUAUGAAUCAACUAUGCUUUUCUUUUGAUAUAGUUUUGGAUAUAUCAAGCCUUGCACCUAGCUACCUAAGCUAGUUAGAUGCCUAACAUAAUGAUUUUUUUUUUCUUUGCCUGUAUGUGCAGAUGAGAGUUAUCUAACAGAUGAAUAUCUCGAGACGGUGGUCCAUUUCACUGAUGAAAUUAAAGAUAUUCGUCUAAAAGAUCUGCCGAGUUUUAUAAGAACGACAGACAAAAAUGACCUCAUGAUCAACUUCUUACUAGUAGAAUUAGAAAGAACUUUCAAAGCCUCUGCAAUCAUUUUAAAUACCUUUGAUGAGUUUGAAAAAGAAGUUUUGAGUGCAAUGAAAUCAAAAUUGCCGCCAAUUUACACUAUAGGUCCUUUGCAUUUGAUUGUGGACCAAGUUGUAGACAAUGGAUUGAAUUCCAUUGGAUCCAAUCUAUGGAAAGAAGAAGCGGAAUGUCUAGAAUGGCUCGAUUCAAAGGAAGCCAACUCGGUUGUUUACGUUAAUUUUGGUAGCAUUACAGUCAUGACGCCUGAACAAAUGAUUGAAUUCGCUUGGGGUCUUGCUAAUAGCAACCGAGACUUCUUAUGGGUCAUAAGGUCCGAUUCAAUAGUCUCAGGUGACUCUGCAGUACUUCCACCUGAGUUCAUAGACCAGACUAAGGAAAGGGGUCUAUUAGUUCAUUGGUGUCCACAAGAACAAGUACUUAACCACCCUUCUAUAGGUGGUUUCUUGACCCAUAGUGGGUGGAAUUCGACACUUGAAAGCGUAUCCAGUGGUGUGCCAAUGCUUUGUUGGCCCUUUUUUGCUGAGCAACAAAUGAACUGUCGAUUUGCAUGUACACAUUGGGGCAUAGGCAUGGAGAUUGAUAGUAAUGUGAAGAGAGAUGAAGUGGAGAAGCUUGUCAGAAAGUUAAUGGAGGGAGAGAAAGGUAAGAAGAUGAAGAUAAAAGCAAUGGAGUGGAAAAAGAAAGCAAUAGAAACUACUGCACCUGGUGGAUCAUCUUAUGUGAAUAUAGACAAGCUUAUCAAUGAUAUUCUUCUAAAAUAAAACAUAUAAUGCUACAGAACUAUAGAAAAACUAAAAAUAAUUACCAAUGCAAUAUUUCUUUGUAUAUUUGUUUAUGUACUAAUCUCUUUUAAUAACUCAGGAGGAGAGUUUUUUUUCCUAAUGCGAAACUUUUACCAAAAAAGUCCAUUUCUCUUUUACUAAAAUCAAAUAUAUCUUCUCUAAUACGUCCUGCAAUUUCUGUUAGUAAGAAAUACAUCCUGCAAUUUCUGCAAAAAUGUACCAAAAAGGAAGUUUUAUUGUCUUUGAAUGAAUGGAGUUGCCCUCUAAUUUGAGCUAAGCAUAAGAGAUUAAGAGGUAGUGUUUGGGAAGCAUAAGUGGGGUCUGUACUUGGUUUUUGUUUGGGCUAAGAUGUGUGGGUACCGGGUCCAAUUGGACUGAAAGAUGGCCCAGAUUUGUAUACUUCUUAAGGCCCUUUUGGGUAGUCAUAUAGAUUCAUAGUUGCCUCUCUCAUUAUCAGUUUAUCUUUAUCACAUCAUUUUCUGUGAGGUGACAAAAUAAUUUUUGGAAUAAUUUGAAGGUCAAUCAUUGAUCAAAUUGACAAAAUAAUUCAAGCAGACCAGACCCACCUCAUGAUCGCUCACCCAUUUUGACUGGCAGGCUCAUGUUCUGUUCUUGAAUGAUUUUGUUGCAGACAGGUUGAUUUCAAUUAACAGUAUAUUAAUCUUACUGAUUAAGGAAAUCAAACAUAAUACAAGAGUAUAUGGUUAACAUAUGAUGCGAAAAUCUAAUAUGACACCUUGUUGUGCAUGCACCAAAUUAUAAUAACCUGUUUAUCAUGUAUACAUGUGUAUAGUGACUAUAGUCCAAUGAUUCUGUGCUAAUAAAUCCUAGUAAUAACUGAUUUUACGUAUAAUACUGGAUACGUACUCGUUUUUAUAAUCACAAAUCAUGAUCAUAGGCAUCAUAUAAGCAUAUUAUCUUAAUCAAAACAGAUCAGGUGCUACCAUGAAAUGGAUCCUUUUCUAAUUUAAUACUGUAUAUAUAUAUUUAUUCUAGUUCAGGUAAUCAGAUAUUUUGUCACCUUCAUUACAUAAUGUCUACUAUUAUAUAUAGAUGAACAGAUCUGAUACAUAAAAUAUUAGUAUGUUGCAGUUCACAGAAAUGUAAUUUAUACUAUAGCUUUCCCCGAUGUGAAAGGAUUUGCUUGUUUAUUUUUAGAGAUUUUUGGACAUACCCCAUUUGAAAGUCGAAAUUUGAGAUACCCCAUUUGAAAAAAAAUUUAAGAUACCCCCAAUUCAAGAUGUGGUGUUAUCUUAGCCGUCCAUCAUAAAACUCACCUACGGAUGAUAAAACUCACCUACGGAUGUAAAGCUCUUUUGUCUUGAAUUGGGGGUAUCUCAAAUUUUUUUUUCAAAUGGGUAUCUCAAAUUUCGACUUUCAAAUGGGGGGUAUGUCCAAAAAUCUCUUAUUUUUAUUAGGUCUCUAUCAAGGAUGAUGCAAAAUUGAAGACAUUGCAAAUUAUAUAGAAGACUGGUUAAUUCAACCCUCUGUUGAAGUCAAGCCUCAAAGGUUAUCAACUUGUUAACUUCAACCCAAACAACAACCAGAUGGACAGAUGGUCAUGCUCUAAAGGUUAUCAACUGGUACAUAUAUUUUGUCAAUUUUUUAAGAAAAUGCCGCCAAAUUAACAGACAAAAUGAAGAUAUAAUAAAAUAAUACAAAGCAACUAUAUUUUAGUUUGACCAAUUUGUUGAAGCUUACAAGUCUAAAUUAGUGAGGAAAGCAAUGAACAAUGAAAUUAAAUUGAAUUUCUCCUCCUCCUAGGCUCCCACUAUAAAACCAGCAUCUCUUUUCUCUUGCAGACCAUCAACACAUAACUUAUAUCACAUUUAUCACUUUAAGGUAGAGAUACUGCAAGAAAUUGCAAAAGAAAUGGGUUCCUUAGCAAAGAAACCUCAUGCUGUUUGCAUACCAUACCCUGCCCAAGGCCACAUAAACCCCAUGCUCAAAUUAGCAAAGCUUUUUCAUAACAAAGACUUUCAUAUCACCUUUGUUCUCACUGAGUACAAUUACAAACGUUUACUUAAAUCUCGCGGUCCUGACUCGCUCAACGGGUUAUCUGAUUUCCAAUUCCAAACUAUCCCUGAUGGUCUCCCACCUUCCGAUGGUGAGAUCACCCAAGACAUUCCAUCUCUCUGUGAUUCCACUAGUAAGAAGUGCUUGGUGCCCUUCAGAGAUCUCAUCACAAGCCUCAAUGACAAUCCAAAUUUACCACCAGUAUCAUGCAUAGUAUCUGAUGGUGUCAUGAGCUUCACUUUAGAUGUUGCUGAAGAGCUUGGUAUUCCAGAAGUCUUGUUCUGGACUACCAGUGCAUGUGGCUUCAUGGGAUAUGUACACUAUCCUCAACUCAUCCAAGAAGGUCUUACACCACUUAAAGGUAUGCAUAGAUCGAAUCAUUCUUAAUCAUUAUGUUUAUGUUUCAAAAGAGGUUUCUAACCAUUAAUCGUAAAUGGCCCUUAUUGAAGAUUCAUCCACAUACUGUAUGUUAUUUUACGUUAAUUGGUUGAUUGUAAAGGUUUAGUUUAUUUCUCAAUUUGGUUCUUGUUUAUGUUUAUAGAUGCGAGUUGUCUAACAAAUGGAUAUCUGGAGACAACUCUUGACUGGCUGAAAGGGAUGGACAAUAUUCGUCUAAUGGAUCUCCCAAGUUUUAUACGAACUACAGACCCAAAAGAUAUCAUGCUCAACUUCCUGCGUGAUGAAGUACAGAGAACUCCCAGAGCUUCUGCAAUCAUUUUGAAUACCUUUGAUGCUUUGGAAAAUGAUGCUGUGAGUGCAAUGCAAUCUAUAUUGCCUCCAGUUUACACUAUAGGCUCUUUGCAUUUGCUUGUCAAUCAACUAUCAGAUAACGAAUUGAAUUUAAUUGGGUCUAAUCUAUGGAAAGAAGAACUAGAGUGUCUACAGUGGCUCGAUACAAAGGAACCUGGCUCAGUUGUUUAUGUGAAUUUUGGUAGCAUUACAGUCAUGACGCCUCAACAAAUGAUUGAAUUUGCUUGGGGUCUUGCUAACAGCAAGAACACAUUCUUGUGGAUCAUUAGGCCCGAUCUUGUCUCAGGUGAGGCAGCAAUGCUACCUCCUGAGUUCAUCAUGGAUACUAAGGAAAGGGGUCUUUUAGCAAGUUGGUGUCCACAGGAACAAGUACUCAACCACCCUUCUAUUGGUGGUUUCUUAACACACAACGGAUGGAAUUCAACAAUCGAAAGCAUAUGUGGUGGUGUGCCGAUGAUCUGUUGGCCUUUCUUUGCUGAACAACAAACAAACUGCAGAUAUACAUGUGUCCAUUGGGGAAUAGGCAUGGAGAUCGAUAAUAAUGUGAAAAGAGAUGAAGUGGAAAACCUUGUGAGGGAGUUGAUGGAGGAAGAAAAGGGUAAGGAAAUGAAAAGGAAAGCUAUGGAGUGGAAGAAGAAAGCUGAAAAAGCUACAGCACCAGGCGGAUCAUCUUAUAUGAAUAUAGAGAAGCUUAUCAAUGAAAUCCUUCUGAAAAAAUAAAUGUAUAAUUAGUAUUUUGUGGGGAAAAAAGUGGUUUGUUUCAUUAGUUUGUGAGCAUGUGUACAUGGCUGAAGACGAGGUCACCAUUUCAUUAAAACACCUAAAUUAUUAUUUGAUUUGUAUGGUGAUUUGUUCAUUAUUAUAAUGAAAAACUUCAGAUUAUGCGUUCAAAAUUAAUUAGUAUUUUCUAUAACCAUUUUAGAACCUAUUUUCAGCACAAUGCAUAUCAUAAACUUACAUUGUGCAACUGUAAGGCAGAGAAUAAUGCCCAAAUGUUAAGAACAAAAAAAUAUGUGGGAGACAAAGUCAAUGUCUAUAUAUAUAUAGAUCAAGUUAUGGUUCUUAGUUCUUACUCAGCUUUUGACUAUGCCACCAGUAGUAAUCAAGUCCGAAUUUGGCGAAACCGAUCAUUUGUGAUAUCAAGUUUUCAACCCCAUAUCUGGGUUCAGAAAUUUAAUGAGACUAAUUGAAUGGUUCUUACUCAACUUAUCUCUCACAAUUUAUCAUAGACCAUGCAUGUGGGUUCAGAAAUUUAAUGAGACAAUUGGGUCUUUUAAUCGAGGCAUUAUUCGUCGAAGUUAUAUUAUCAAUUAUUGGUCAGUCCCCCCCCCCAAAAAAAAAUAAAAUAAAAUAAAAUAAAAAUAAAAAUAAAAAUUAUUGGUCAGUUUUAUGUCAAACAUGGUAGUAUGCAGAACUACAUGCAUCUAUCCCACUUUUUGAGCUUAUGCAUUAGUAAUGCCUUGUGCAAUCAAACACACUAUACAAACAGACAUAUACAAUAAGAUGAAUUUGGAAAAUGGUUCUUUGGAGUUUGGACAACGACUUCGAGUCUCAGUCAUAAGACCAAUAAGAUGAAUUUGGAAAAUAGUCAUGACUAUUUUGUUUUUUCUCUUUUUUUGGUAUAUACAAUGUGGAAUUAAUCACCAGUCCAUUCCUCCGCCUGCUAUUGAAAAGUUAAAUGUCGUAAUUGACCAAGUAUGAUAUAGAUCUUGUUUGUGCUGUAGAGAUGAACAUAGCACUAUAAAUAUUAUAACCUAUAUAUUUGAAUAUGACAAUGGGACGUACGUGCUGCUAUACAGGGCUUGCUAGUUCGCUCAAUUGUUUUCUCUUCAAAGAAAGAAUCAGUCAAGAUCCUUCAGAAAUACCGUGUGGACUUAAGAAAUUUGUUUCACAACAUAUAUAAGAAAACCUGGGGGUGUGUGGGGAUAUCUUAUCUUAAAAACUAUUGUUAGCUGUUUAUCUAUUGUUGCAUGACAAUGCCAGAAUCAAGAUGGUUUGUGCUAAUAGUCUUGUUGUUAAUGGAAACAAUCAAGUUCAGAGGCAGUAUCGAUGCUUUGAGCUUGCACUGCCUACAGAAUGAAAGACAAGCACUACUUGGUUUCAAGCAAGGUCUUCGAGAUCCAUCAAAUAGGCUCGCUUCGUGGGUAGGUGAAGACUGCUGCAAAUGGGAAGGAGUAGGAUGCAACAACACGACUGGACAUGUUGUCAAGCUCGAUCUUCGAAAUCCAUUUCCAUUCAACGUAUUUGAUAAAACAAAAGGUUAUGACAUGCCUUAUAACAGGGCAUCUCUUCAUGCAACUGAGGUAAACUCAUCACUCCUAGAGUUGAAACACUUGAAUCAUUUAGACCUAAGUUGGAACAACUUUUCAGGUAUCCAAAUUCCAAAAUUUUUUGGAUCAUUUCAACAGUUGGAAUAUUUGAACCUCUCAUCUGCAUUGUUUGGAGGAAUUGUUCCCCAUCAUCUAGGAAACUUGUCAUCGCUGCGUUCUCUUGAUCUGUCUCUUCCUGUUGUCAAUUAUGCAAACAUUCCUGAGUUGGCUGUAGACGCUUCGCAUUGGAUGUCUAAUCUGUUUUCUUUACAAUACCUUGACAUGAGCCAGGUAGAUUUUAGCAAUAUGCUUUCAGGUUCAUCACUUCAACCAAUUAUUUUGCUUCCUUCUCUUUCAGAAUUACACUUGUCUGGUUGCAUGUUACGUAUGAUGCCUUCUCUGUUUGAAUCUGAUCAAAAUCUUACAUCUCUAGUCAUCCUUGACCUGAGCUCCAAUGGUAUAUCAGGUCCCAUACCAAAUGCUAUUCAGAACAUGACUUCCCUGAAAGAACUAGAUUUGUCAUAUAACCUGUUCAAUUCUAGCGGCCCAAUUUUUGAUGAAAUUAGAAAUCUGCACCAAUUGAAAAUAUUGGACUUGACCUCUAACCAAUUUGAUGGCAAGACAAUUGAACAUUUUGGAAACUCCACUUCUCCAUCCAUUGGCAUUAAUCUUGAGGCACUGCUUUUGUCGGAUAAUGAGCUUGAUGGGUAUUUGCCUAACUGGUUAUACCUGUUGGGAAAUCUAAAAACUCUUGAUCUUUCAUCUAACUCAUUUCAUGGUCCAAUUCCUGCAUAUUUUGGGGAUUUUCGAGCUCUUAGGGGGUUAGAUCUCAGUGGUAAUAAGCUGACAGGAUCAAUUCCCACCUCUCUUGGACAAGUGUCACUAUUGGAAGUACUAAAUCUUGGGGCCAACGAAUUAAGUGGCCUUAUUCCCGCAUCACUUGUUAGUCUGUCGAUGCUACGAGUAUUAAAUCUCAAUGAUAACCACUUCCACGGUCAGAUUCCAAUGGGUUUUGGAAGACUGUCAAACUUAAGACAACUCGAUCUCAGUGAUAAUAAAUUAAAUGAGACUGUCGCAGAAAGUCUCGGACAACUGUCAGAGUUAACACUGAUAGAUCUAUCAAACAAUUCAUUAAGUGGUGUUUUAUCCGAGGUGCACUUUGCCAGACUCUCUAAAUUGGAAGUUUUAUACUUGCAAAUGAACUCUUUCUCUCUGAACAUUAGGCAUGGUUGGAUUCCACCAUUUCAACUCACCAGUAUAAACCUACAAUCUUGUGAAGUAGGACCUCAAUUUCCAGGAUGGCUUCAAACACAAACUCAAUGCACUACAUUGGUUUUGUCCAAUGCAAGCAUUUCUGAUUCUAUCCCCAACUGGUUUCAGAACUUUUCGUCUCAAUUAUCCUACUUAGAUCUCUCUGACAACAAGAUAUACGGAAAGUUGCCUGAUUUUUUACAGUCAAGCUAUCCUGAUGUGCGGUUGUUUUUGAGCUCUAACAGAUUCGAAGGUCCAUUGCCCCACUUCCCUUCAAAUGUAAUGAUUUUGGACCUUUCCAAAAAUACAAUUACAGGUCCUAUUCCCUCUAAUAUUGGGGACAUGCUCCCCACAUUAGAUUUGCUUGUUCUUUCUGAUAACCAUAUAAAUGGAAGUAUUCCGAUCUCAUUAUGUAAAAUGAACAAACUAAAAUACCUUGAUCUCUCGAAAAACAAAAUUUCGGGAACUCUUCCCCAAUGUUGGAGUGCUUCACAAAUCUUGACAGUGAUAGAUCUAGCAUCCAACAAACUAUCAGGAACUGUUCCAAGUUCCAUUGGUCAGCUAUCAACACUAGGCACCUUGCGCUUAAGCAACAAUAAUUUUCAGGGAUCCAUUUCUUCUGCCUUGCGUCACUGCACAAGUUUAUCCAUUCUUGACCUAGGCGAUAACUUAUUGUCUGGCAUGAUUCCUACAUGGAUUGGAGAAGAACUGACCUUGUUGAGAAUUCUAAGGUUACGAGCAAACAAUUUCACUGGUCCUAUUCCUCCUAAUCUAUGUCAUUUGACUGAUCUGCAGAUAAUGGACCUCGGGUUUAAUAAUCUAUCUGGAACUGUCCCAAGUUGUGUUGGAAAUUGGAGUGGAAUGAUUUUAAGGCAAACUACAGAGGAAGAUGAUUUUAUCAUUGCUUGGACAUCAUAUGCUGACAAAUUGGAGCAAGUAAUCAAAGGGAGAGAAUUUGAGUAUAUGAAGAUAUUGUCACUUCUAAGAAACCUGGACCUCUCUGGUAAUAAUUUGGUUGGGCAAAUCCCUGACGAUCUUACGAGGCUAUCUGGAUUGAAUGGUUUAAAUCUAUCAGGAAACCACUUGAGAGGAAACAUUCCCGAGAUGAUUGGUCAGAUGAAAUCAUUAGAAUCAUUUGAUAUCUCCAAAAACCGGCUUUCAGGAACAAUUCCACAGAGCAUUUCAUCGUUGUCUAGACUAAGCCACCUGAAUUUAUCCUAUAACAACUUGUCAGGACGAAUUCCAACAGGCAGCCAGCUCCAAACUUUUGAUGACACGUCCAUAUACAUAGGCAAUCAAGAACUCUGUGGACCUCCACUUGAGAAAAAAUGCCUAGGAGAUGAGCCACCUCAAUCUCCAAAGAAUGUUGAUAACAACGAGGAAGACGAGCUCCAGAUAAGUAUGUUUUACAUUGGAAUGAUAUCAGGUUUUGCAGUUGGAAUUUGGGGAGUUUUUGGUGUUUUAUUGUUGAAGAAGACAUGGAGAUAUGCAUACUUCAGAUUUGCUGAUGAUAUCAAAGACCACUUGCUUUUGUCGAUAACAAUAGGGAUAGUUCGCCUAAAGAAGAAACUGACAUUCAACCAUGUUGAGAAUGUCACACAUUGAAAAGGCGAAGUCUCUAAAUUGUUAUUUUAAAUUUGUGAUCCUUAAUAGUGAUUGACUUAUUGGAAAAUCUUUAGUAUAGAGAAUGCAAUGUUGUAUUGGUUUCAUCACUUUUGAACUUACAAUAGGUUUUCAAAUCAAAAUAUACUUGCGUGCAACAAUUCCAAGUUAAAUCAGUAUAGAUCAUGCAUGCCCUCACUCUAACAUAUAAAAGUGAAAUACAAGAAAACAAAAGAAUGGCAAGAAAUCUUACAAUUAUAUUUAAUGAAGCAGACGAUCCAACAUGUACCGAUCAAAUUCUCCAAGUUCUUCAUGGAUAUAUAUAUAUAUAGCCUAUAAAGAAAAGAGUUAAAGUGUGAAACACAACUCAGUGUGACUUUAAACUUGAAACUAAAUAAACACAAAAAUAGCAAACUAACAAUGAAGAGAUAUGCAUGGCUUUAGUUCUCCUCGAAAUUUCGUCAAACAUGUUCUGUUUUGAUAAAAGUUGCAAGUAAACAUUUUAUCAAACACCUUCGUUGCAACAAGUGGAUCUGACUUCCGAGGAGGAUAACACUUGGGCCGGGCUGGAUCUGAAUACUUAUAAAGGUCCGUUAUUCACUGAAAUGGAUCCAAGAAAGUUGAGAUAUAAAACAUUUUUUUUUUUUUUUUUUUUUUUAAUUAUUAUCAAAUCUAAAUGUCGUGGAAAAACAACAGAAAGAUCGGCAAUGUUGACUCACUGUGGUAGAAAUCCAAAACCAUGAUCUGUGGUAUUGCGUCACAAGUUCACAACAAGUCAACAAGUACACGACUCACAAUGUCAGUAAAGCUUAAAGUAAUUAAUCCCACUAAUGAAAGAUUAUUAUAUAUUUAUAAUAUUGUUGUUUAUCUUACCGAAAAAAUAAAAUAUUUAAACAAGAAAAGAAAGCAGGCCCCAUCAUGGACUCUGACCCAUUGUAUCUCUUUUUGUACUUUGCUUCACAAUUAAUAAAACCCCAAUUUUUUUAUUUUUUUUUAUAAAAUUCAGGAAAAUAUAUAUAUUAUUUAUUAAGAAAACAAAACAAUAUAUGUUAAUAUUAAUAAAAAAAAAACGGUCAACCGAGAACAUCAGAACAUGGGACUGUUUAAUUUGGGGGUUUGGGCAUACAAAUUUAAUCACAACUCUGAUGAUAAGUACUUCUUACAUCCUAAAAUCUUGGGCAGGUCCAAUGAAAUGAAGAUCAUAUUCAUAUGUGAUGUUUACUAAACUAAUUCAUUAAUAGUUGGAACUUGAAAAUAAUUUUGCAAGAAUGAUAAAACGGCUCACUUAAUUAUUUACCAAAAAAAAUAAAAAUACUUUGAUUAGUAUUACAUAAAUUUCAUAAAAACAAUACUAGGUGAAACUAUGACCAUGUUCAAUUGUUGUUGUUGUUUUUUUUUUAUUGCAAGAUUGAUAGGAAUCUAGAAAAGAAAAAGACGUCGAAUCUUUUUUCUUGAUAAAGUGCCGUGAUAUCGAUCUGAAAAGCCAUUAAUAGCAAUACUACGUAAAGAAGAAAAGGGAAGGGAAAAAGAUAUUUCAAGUUUUCAACAGAACCAUAUAUUUCUAUUAGGAAUAAUUUCUUGUUUUUAUUUUCAUUAUUAAGUGUUGGUCUUUUUUGUUAUAAAAAUCAAGAAACUUUUAUAAAUUUUUAUGUUAAAAACAAUUCACCAAAUAAAUUGUUUUUUUAUUUUAUUUUAUUUUAUUUGAUAAAGAUCGACCACCAACAAAUAACAUGACUUCACCAAAUGCGUGAUCAAAUUAAAUCUGUAUGUUCCUUUCUGUCUAUAUCAUAUAUAUGGCUGCACCUCGAAAUGCCGUCUAAUUGAGGAAAUAAUUAAAAUGAUAGGCUAUAAUUUGUCUUCUUCAAUCAAUUGUUAUCCUUCUUUUCUUCUUACUUCUCACUAUAAAAGUAGCACUUCUAGUCCAUUUCAAAGCAUCAGCUCACCAACAAGGACAUCAGAGAGUUACAGAGAUGGGUUCUUUAGAAAUAUCCAAAAAGCCUCAUGCUGUUUGCAUUCCAUUUCCAGCUCAAGGCCAUAUCAACCCUAUGAUGAACUUAGCUAAGCUUCUUCAUAACAAAGGCUUUCACAUUACUUUUGUUAACUCUGAGUAUAAUCAUAAACGUCUUAUCAAAUCUCGAGGUCCCGAUUCUGUCAAUGGUUUACCUGACUUCCAAUUCAAAACUAUACCAGAUGGUCUACCAGCUUCUGAUGAUAACGAUUCCACCCAAGACAUCCCAGCUCUAUGUGAUUCCACAAGCAAGAACUGCUUAGUUCCAUUUAGAGAUCUUAUUAACAAGCUCAACAACUCUUCCAAUGUACCACCAGUAUCAUGCAUAGUGUCUGAUGGAAUCUUGAGUUUCACUUUAGAUGUUGCUCAAGAACUUGGUAUUCCAGGAGUCUUAUUUUGGACUACUAGUGCAUGUGGCUUCAUGGCAUAUCUUCAGUAUCCACAUCUUGUCGAAAAAGAUCUUAUACCACUAAAAGGUACGACGACUUGUAACAUUUUUUGAACAACUUUGACUUACAGACAUAUACUUAGCAAAUUUUUUACUGUGUAAAAUGGUCGUAAAUAAAAUCUGAGUCAAAUCUUCUUGAUGAAACCCCCACACCAUCUCUUCGUUAUACAUGAUUCUGAUUUGUUUGUGAUAAUAAUGCAGAUAUGAAUGAUGUUACAAAUGGAUAUCUGGAGACAACUAUUGACUGGAUACCAGGAAUGAAAGAUAUUCGUUUUAGAGAUCUACCAAGUUUUAUUCGAACAACAGAUCCAAACGACAUCAUGAUCAACUUUGCGCUAAGAGAAGUAGAGAGAACUUACAAAGCCUCGGCUAUUGUUCUAAAUACCUUUGACGAGUUGGAGCAUGAAGUUUUAAAUGCAAUGAAAUCCAAACUGCCACCAGUUUACACUAUAGGAUCUUUGCAUAUGCUAGUCAAUCAAAUAUCAGAUAGUGGAUUAAAUUCCAUUGGAUCAAAUUUAUGGAAAUUAGAAGCAGACUGUCUCCAGUGGCUCGAUUCAAAGGAAGAAAACUCUGUUGUUUACGUGAAUUUUGGUAGCAUCACUGUCAUGACGCCUCAACAAAUGAUUGAAUUCGCUUGGGGUCUUGCUAACAGCAACUGCACAUUCUUGUGGAUUAUUAGACCCGAUCUUGUCUCAGGUGACUCGGCAGUUCUACCACAUGAGCUCAUAAUGGAUACUAGAGAAAGGGGUCGAUUAGCAAGUUGGUGCCCACAAGAGCAAGUAUUGAGCCACCCUUCAAUAGGUGGUUUCUUGACUCAUAGUGGGUGGAACUCAACUUUAGAAAGUGUGUGUGCUGGUGUGCCUAUGAUAUGUUGGCCUUUCUUUGCUGAACAACAAACAAACUGCAGAUAUGCAUGUGUCCAUUGGGGAAUAGGCAUGGAGAUUGAUAAUAAUGUGAAGAGAAAUGAAGUGGAGAGCCUUGUGAGAGAGUUGAUGGAAGGAGAUGAGAAAGGUAAGGAAAUGAAUAUCAAAGCCAUGGAUUGGAAGAAGAAAGCUGAAGACGCUGUUGCACCUGAUGGAUCAUCUUACAAAAACAUAGACAAGCUUGUCAAUGAAAUCCUCAUGUUAUCUAUGUAAUAUGAUGUUACUGUAGUAAUAUAUAGAGUAUUUGUUUUAAUAAUUUGGCAACUCAAGUGCAUGCGCUCAUUUGUUUGUGGAAUACUUAAAUGCGCUUAUUAAUGUAAUGUCUUUCUUUUUCCCUACAGCGCAGUAGUGAAGUUCUCUGUUUCCUGACUUAUUCAAUGAUUCAAUCUCAAAGAAUAAUUCCUAGUACAGUAGUACUCUUUUUGCCCUUCUGCUGAACAACCACAACUAAGAAUAACAAACACAUUUUUAUUACUUUAUAUGAUGAAGGUGAUCGAAUAAUAUCCAGCAUCUGCACAUCAAAUCCUAUGCAAUUCAACAAGCAUAUUAAGCUUAUAAUUGAAAAAAAAUGACUACUAGACAACACAUUGUUCAACACAACCACCAUAUUAAGCUUAUAAAUGUUGAAGGUGAAUAAAUUCCAGCAUCUGCCCAUCAAAGUAUCAAACCCUUCAAGUUCUGGAUACAAACCCUAAUGCAAAAUGGAAUACAAGUGACUUAGGGUCUAGGGGUUAGGAUUUGAGCUAAACUAUAAGCCCGGCCCAUUAGAAUAAUUAAGCCCAGAUCCAGUCAAACUCUUUUGUGUUUUUUUUGUUUUUUUUUUUGGGUAAAAUAAAUUAACAUGUAAUGAUCUAGAUGUGGAUUAUAUGUUUUUUGUGAUUCUUAUCUGGUAAACUUCACAUCAUUUUCUUUAAUCCAUUGUUAAGCUAGCUGUUUUCGCAAAUGUUAUACAAAUAUUCUCAAAUUGUAGUCCAAAACUGAUUUCAGUUUAAGCAAUGGACAAUUUUGAGUAGAAGAUUAUUGUUAUUACAAGUAAAAGCAAAGAUCAAAGACAAAAACAUCACCGAGGCCUAUUCAUGAGAAAUCAGUGCUAAACUUCUCCUUUACUUGUACGCUAAGCCUUCUUCUUAUUAUGCUUUAAAAACAAAACAAAAAAUAUAUUAAGAGGAGACUUGUACACAUUCUCAAGUAGUUUUAGUUCAAGACUUUUAAGGAACUUCAUCAAAAAUCUACUAAAUGUAUGUAUAUAUAUAUUAGGAAGAUGGUUGCAAACAACUCAAUCCUUUGUCUAACAAUAAUGUUGAUGGAGAAGAAGAAGAGAAUGGCUGUCUUGGUUGGGUGCAACUAUCCCAACACUCCAAAUGAGUUACAUGGAUGCAUUAACGACGUGCUUUCUAUGCGCGAUAUGCUUGUGGAACAUUUUGGAUUUGAUUUGAAUCAUAUUGAGGUCUUAAUUGAUGCACCUGGUUCAUUGGUCAUGCCCACUGGUGCCAACAUUAGGAAAUCGCUUAAUCGAAUGAUUGAUCAGGCUGAGCCAGGGGAUGUUCUGUUUUUUCAUUACAGUGGUCAUGGAACAAGGAUUCCUACCAACCAUGGAUUCAAGCAUGAUGAAGCCAUUGUUCCUACUGAUUUAAAUCUCAUUACUGGUAAGUAACAUGUCACACUAACUAUUUUAUCUAAAAGAAUUACAUAUAUAAGUUAAUAAUAGAAUUUAUAAUAUGGAUUUUAAUACAAACUUUUUUUUUUUUUUUUGCAAUGCAGAUGUAGAUUUUCGACAACUUGUAAACCGUUUGCCAGAGAAAUCAAGCUUCACGAUCAUCUCAGACUCAUGCCAUAGUGGUGGCCUCAUUGACAAGGAGAAAGAACAAAUUGGACCUUCUUCUAUGAACUUAACAUUACCGAUUUCUCUUAAUCGCCCCAAAAACAUUCCAUUCCAUUACAUUUUAAAUGAUCUCACAUCCCUUUCUGGCAUUCAGUCAUCAGAUAUCGGUAAUCACUUGCAAGAGAUUUUUGGAAAUGAAGCAAGUGCCAAAUUCCAUAAAAACAAAGUACUUCAGGGCAUAUUAGGUCCAAUACAUCCCGACUCAGGAAUCCUACUUAGUGGAUGUCAAGCAAACGAAACAUCGGCUGAUAUGAAUCCAACAAUGGAAGGAGGUAAAGCUUAUGGAGCAUUCAGUAAUGCUGUUCAAAUGGUUAUAAAAGAAAAUGGGACUGGACUGAGUAACAAACAACUGAUUAUCAAAACAAGAAAUGUUUUACAGACACAAGGCUUUGAUCAACACCCUUGUCUAUAUUGUAGUGAUGCCAAUGCCGACAAACCAUUCUUAUGCCUACCUGCAGCAAUGUCGUGAAUCUGAGAUUAUGUGUAUUAAUUAAUGGUGUUGUACAAUUAUGUUUGUAAGCAUUAAACUAUAUCUGUUUCUGUAAUAAAAGUUAUAAAACCACAACCGCAAUAUAUCCAUAAGAGGUUGAGAUGAUCUUUCUACUUUCUAGUGCUGUGUUAUGAAAUUGGCAAGUUUUUCAUUAUGCUUAAAGACUCUUUAUCCAAGUAGUUGAAGGAUAAAGACCAAAACCUGCAUUUUUUUCAACUAUUUAAGUGUCACAUAAGUUUGAUUUUAUAGAAAAUAAGAUAUACCAAAGAUUGGAGAUAGCUCUAGCUACAAUGACCGCGAUUCCAGAAGCUAUGAAACCUCAUGUAAUUUGUGUUCCAUUUCCAGCGCAAGGGCACAUCAAUCCCAUGCUCAAAAUAGCCAAAAUUCUUCAUCACAAAGGCUUUCACGUCACUUUUGUUCACAGUGAGUACAAUUUUAAACGUUUACUCAAAUCGCAUGGUCCUGAUUCUCUCAAGGGAUUACCUGACUUUCAAUUCAAAACAAUCCCAGAUGGUCUCCCACCAACUGAUUGUACCGAUGUUACUCAAGACAUCACUCCUUUAAUUAUUUCGGCUGCAACAAAUAUGCUAGCGCCAUUUCGAAACUUGGUAAAGAAUCUAAAUGGUACUAGGUCAUCGAAAGUACCUCCAGUCACCUGUAUUGUCUCUGAUACAGCC